rnacentral:tRNA from 1 species
GUCCAGGAUAGCCUAGUGGACAUGGCAUCUACCCGGUAAACAGAACACUGUGGGUUCGAUUCCUAUCCUUGAACA